CCUACGGGAGGCAGCAGUGGGGCAUAUUGGACAAUGGGCGGAACCCUGAUCCAGCGAUGCCGCGUGAGUGAAGAAGUAUUUAUGUAUGUAAAGCUCUAUCAGCAGGGUAGAAAGAAAUGACGGUACCUUCCUAAGAAGCUCCCGCUAACUACGUGCAAGCAGCCGCGGUAAUACGGAGGGGGCAAGCGUUAUCCGGAUUGACUGGGUGUAAAGGGAGCGUAGACGGUUACGGAAGGCUGGAGUGAAAGGCGGUGGCGCAACCAGUGAACUGCGUUGGAUACUGUAGAACGAGAGUGCAGGUGAGGUAGGUGGAAUGCCUGGUGUAGCGGUGAAAGGCGUAGAUAUUA
rnacentral:rRNA from 1 species